rnacentral:rRNA from 1 species
AGCGUAGGCGGCGUGGUAAGUCAGAUGUGAAAUCCCGGGGCUCAACCCCGGAACUGCAUCCGAUACUGCCGUGCUAGAGCAAUGGAGGGGUAGCCGGAAUUCUCGGUGUAGCAGUGAAAUGCGUGGAUAUCGAGAGGAACACUCGUGGCGAAGGCGGGCUACUGGACAGUGACUGACGCUGAGACCCGAAAGCGUGGGAGCAAACA